GGCUCGGUGGCGUAGUGGUAAUGCAUUCUGAAUUCCUACAUAGGUGUUUUGUUUUCAGGGGGUAUGGAGUUCGAUUCUGCGUCGAGCCA